CCGGCGCCGAGCGCCUCGUCUCGGGGAGUUGAUGGCAGCACCACAGUGCGGCCGCCCGGCCGAGCGCACCGCGCAGCCACCCGCCGCUGCCCUCCGAGCAGCCGAUAUGUGGGGGGACUGGGGUGGGAGCGGCCGGAGCAGCGCCAGGGACCCGGGCGCGCAGCAGCCUCUGCUCGCUCGCCUGUCCUGACCUGGCUCGCUAGUUCCCCACCGAAGAAUGUCAGCCAAGUCCAAAGGGAACCCCUCCUCGUCCUCUGCAGCCGAGGGACCUCCGGCAGCCUCCAAAACCAAGGUGAAGGAGCAGAUCAAGAUCAUAGUGGAGGAUCUGGAAUUAGUCCUGGGCGACCUGAAGGACGUGGCCAAAGAACUUAAGGAGGUGGUUGACCAGAUUGAUACCCUGACUUCUGACCUACAGCUGGAGGAUGAGAUGACCGACAGCUCCAAAACGGACACUCUGAACAGUAGCUCCAGCGGCACAACAGCCUCCAGCAUAGAGAAGAUCAAAGUGCAAGCCAAUGCCCCCCUCAUUAAACCUCCAGCCCAUCCAUCUGCUAUCCUCACGGUUCUGAGAAAGCCAAACCCCCCACCGCCUCCUCCACGGUUGACACCUGUGAAGUGUGAAGAGCCUCCAAGAGUGGUACCAACUGUCAAUCCGGUCAAGACCAACGGCACCCUUCUCCGGAAUGGAGGCCUACCAGGUAGACCCAACAAAAUUCCCAAUGGAGACAUCUGCUGCCUACCGAAUAGUAACUUGGACAAGGCUCCAGGGCAGUCUCUGAUGCACAGACCUGAAAAAGACAGAAGUCCCCAAGCAGGGCCUCGGGAACGAGUUCGGUUCAAUGAAAAAGUACAGUACCAUGGGUAUUGUCCUGACUGUGAGAGCCGCUAUCACAUAAAGAACAGGGAGGUCCAUUUGCACAGUGAACCAGUCCAUCCACCUGGAAAGCUCCCUCACCAAGGUCCUCCCUUCCCUCCUCCACCUCAUCUCCCCACUUUCCCAUUAGAAAAUGGGGGACUGGGAAUAAGCCACAGUAACAGCUUUCCCCCUCCCACACCUGCAGCUGUGCCUCCUCCCACUGCACCAAAACCACAGAAGACCAUCUUGAGAAAAUCCACCACAACCACAGUGUGAUGUCUGCCAUUUAAGAAAACUUUUUUGUUUGUUUUUAAUUUUCUAUAUGAUAAAUGAUAAGUAAUGAGCACUUUCUACUCAAGCAAUAAAAAAGCCCAAAUAUAUUAAUCUGCAUUCAACAAAGUGGCAUAAAAAUCACCUGCUUUAUCGGGUUGGAAGGAAUACCUUUAUUUAGAGGCAUGUGGAUUCAUUUUUCUUAUGUCAAACUGAUCCUGGACUUUUUGAGGCCAGAUCUAAUUUCAGUGUAACCAGGAGCCUGACCCUGUCAGAGAAGCUAACUUGUCUUUUGGAGCACAAAUGACCAAUGGGAUGGUCUGCCUAAAAUCAUCUGCCUCUCACCUGACAGCCAUGCACAGAGCCAGGUGGGCAGAAAAUGCCCCAGCCUUAAAAUAUCUUCACUCCUGAUUACCGAGAAGAUACAACACCCAGAAGAAAAUGACUAAGUUUUUAAGAAGCCAACAGAUAAACAAAAUCAAACAAUCUAAUUUCACAAUGGAAAAUCAAUAUUCUUGGAUAUCAAUCUGCCCAGAAAAAAAAUGCAAUUCAUCAAUGAAGUGAUUAAAUUAUACAUCAAUUUAACAUUUUAAGAGAUGGAAAGUUAUGGACAGGAGGUGUCUCAAGUGAGAAUUACUCCUAAUUUCAACAAAUGCCGACAAAACCAAAACUGAACCAGCUGGAACUUUGCAAGGAUGGGAUUAGGAAGAAUGUUGCAGUUUGCAGACAUGAAGAGAUCCACAGUCCAUAUUCCCUCAAAGCCAUAAGGGAGAGCAGCAUUGGCCCCAAUUGUUUGAAAAGUUCCAGUGUUACAUCCUCCACGUCAUACUGGUUGAGAGGGGAAAUUGCUUUACCCUGAUUACAUCUCCAUGCACUUCUGUUAUUUGCACAGUUGCUUCCAUUCAGGGUAAGGAAGUGUUCUGGUAUUUGCACAGAUGAUCCCACCAGUUUGGAGACCACAAGAAGCAGUUUCUUGAAGGCAUCCAAAAAGGAUCACUUGAGAAUUAUUAAGAUAAUGAGUUCCCCUUUUAUUUUCUAAUUAACAAAUAGUCAGUUACUUACAUAAAGAACUGAAUUUGUUUCUGAACAAAACUGUAAAAUUAUAAAGAAAACAUUAUUGUGGUCAAAUGAAUGAGAUCAAAAGGGUUUUAUAUAUAUGUGUGUCAUUAAUAUUAAAAAGCUGAAACUGUGUACUAAACAGUGAUGUUUAAUUCUG